GCAGAUACCAUUUCACCUAUCUUUUUAUAAAAUACCAGAUUUUGGUGAAGGUUCUUAAGAUAUUCAAAUAAUUAUCUCCAAGUAUCUGCUGGGUGGCAUGGCAGGUGAAAGCAAGGAGAAUUGAGACAAAUAGAUAGACAGGAAGUCAAAUAUCUCACUUCUUUUUACCCCAUUAGAGGAAAGGCCUCACUGUCUAGGCCUCAUUUUGAGGGUCCCAGUACACCUUCCUCAUUCUCCAAGUUUCUGAUCCCUUCUCCAUACCCUGCAGUCUUUAGAUCUUUUUUUGCUAUCAAAUGUCCACAUGUCUCAGUCAGUCUAGAUUACUACAACAAAGUAUCAUUGACUUAGUGUGUUGUAAAUGAUAGAAAUUUAUUUCUCACAGUUCUGGAAGUGGCAGUCCCAUCAGGCUGCCAGCAUUGCUGGCUUCUGGUGAGGGUUCUCAUUCAGUUUGCAGAUGACCAACUUCUCAUGUAUCCUCAUGUGGUCGAAGCAGAGCUAGUUAGCAUUCUGGUCUUUUCCUAUAAAGACACUAAUUCCAUUAAUGAGGGCUCAACUCUUAUUACCUAAUUACUUUCCAAAGACACCUCCUCCUAAAUGCCAUCGCACUGGGAGUAGGGCUUCCACAUAUGAAUUUUAAGAAGACACAAACGUUCAGUCCAUUGCACU
rnacentral:lncRNA from 10 species